rnacentral:lncRNA from 1 species
UCAACAAUAACAUCCUCUUUUUCCUCCUCUUCCUCUUCAUAUUCAUCUUCAUUGCCAACAUCUUCACUGUGAUGUUGUUGCCCUUUAUCUUCACUCUCUAGCUCGUUGUUAUGAAUAGGAUCCUGCCAAUACCUGAUAUGAUGAAAUGCUCCCAACCAACCCUGGAAUACAACUAUCAUUUACAACAUCAUUCACAACAUGCUG